GACGAACGCUGGCGGCGUGCUUAACACAUGCAAGUCGAACGGAAAGGCCCUGCUUGCAGGGUACUCGAGUGGCGAACGGGUGAGUAACACGUGGGUGAUCUGCCCUGCACUUCGGGAUAAGCCUGGGAAACUGGGUCUAAUACCGGAUAGGAGCCAUUUUUAGUGUGAUGGUUGGAAAGUUUUUUCGGUGUAGGAUGAGCUCGCGGCCUAUCAGCUUGUUGGUGGGGUAAUGGCCUACCAAGGCGGCGACGGGUAGCCGGCCUGAGAGGGUGGACGGCCACAUUGGGACUGAGAUACGGCCCAGACUCCUACGGGAGGCAGGAGUGGGGAAUAUUGCACAAUGGGCGCAAGCCUGAUGCAGCGACGCCGCGUGGGGGAUGACGGCCUUCGGGUUGGAAACUCCUUUCGCUAGGGACGAAGCUUUUUGUGACGGUACCUAGAGAAGAAGCACCGGCUAACUACGUG
rnacentral:rRNA from 1 species